CCUUCAUAUAAUUCGGUAGUUCCAUAAACGAGACAAGAGAGUAACGUUGUUGUUUUCCUUUGUUCCGAUCAUGCGACAUCUUUAUAUUAUCCUUGGACUGUGUAAAAGACAAGGUUUCAUCAGUUUCUUUACCUUUGUUCCUCUUGACAACACAAUUUGUCUCACAAUAGUUCAUCUCCGUUUUGGUAAUUGUUUUUGUUUUCUAUGAUGAUGUCUCUCACAAAAAAAAAAAAAUGUUAUGAAAAAUGAAGAGCAUAUAUUUCUCUGACUUGGUUGUGUGGCUAAAUGUUGAUGAUGGAGUAAUGAGGGUUGCACUGCACCAACUGCAGCAUUUAAGGGAUACACUCUCCUCCGUAAGGUUUGGCACUAUGUAUGUGGGGUUUGUUAAGUAGUUAUAAGACCCAAACUAAUUUAUGAUGGCUGAAAUAACAGGUUUGAUUAUUGGUUUCAUAUGUCGUCAUUUAUAUACAUAUAUUUGCUUCAUAAUCAAGAUCUCACACGUGUGGUGCUACAAAGAGGUAAUUCAUUAACCAUACAUCAUUCCAUAACUUUACGACUUUUC
rnacentral:lncRNA from 1 species